UCCCCGAGGAAGAGGCUGCGGCAGGCGGUGUUCCUCGUGAUGCGGAUGGAGAGGAGGGCGAGGGCCGUCACGGCCGAGCAGAUGGCGCAGAUGGUUCGACAGGUGCAGCUCGAUAUGGCCAAACUGUUUGUACUUCUGAUGGUGCUCGUCUUGCGGAUUGGGUCCAUGGAGAGCAUGCUCCUCCAGCUCCCUAACAUGGUACGGGGAUUGGUGGCGGAGGAGUUGGCGGAUUU